rnacentral:RNase_P_RNA from 2 species
AGGGCGAGCCAAGCGGACGCGGGGGGAGAGACAACCCUUCGAGGAAAGUCCGGACACCACAGGGCAGGGCGGUGGGUAACGCCCACCCGGCGAAAGCCGCGGGAAAGUGCCACAGAAACAUACGGCCGAUGGCGCGGCCACACGUGAGCCGCGUACAGGCAAAGGUGAAAAGGUGCGGUAAGAGCGCACCGGCGUCGUGGUGACACGACGGCCAGGCAAACCCCGCCCGGUGCAAGGCCAAGCAGGACCGUCGACCCGGCUCGGCGAGGUCCAGGUAGGUCGCAGGUGCGCUUCGGCGCCCCGCCAGGGUUUCGGCCCGGCGAGAUAGAUGUCCGCUCGCGACAGGAUCCGGCUUACAGGCUCGCUGUCGGA